rnacentral:rRNA from 1 species
CAGCAGCCACGGGAAUACGUAGGUGGCAAGCGUUGUCCGGAAUUAUUGGGCGUAAAGGGCUCGCAGGCGGUUUCUUAAGUCUGAUGUGAAAGCCCCCGGCUCAACCGGGGAGGGUCACUGAAAACUGGGAAACUUGAGUGCAGAAGAGGAGAGUGGAAUUCCACGUGUAGCGGUGAAAUGCAUAGAGAUGUGGAGGAACACCAGUGGCGAAGGCGACUCUCUGGUCUGUAACUGACGCUGAGGAGCGAAAGCGUGGGGAGCGAACAGGAUUAGAGACCCCAGUAGUCCCUGUCUCUUAUAA